rnacentral:lncRNA from 1 species
CUAAUGGCUUUUGGUAGAAACCUAAGUGUCAAGCAAUUUAACAGCUGAAACAUGCCAGGUUCAUGCGACAAUAGCACUGAAGGCCGUCCUAGCUUAACGGAGAAUGUCUGCGUGGCCUGGCCCUUCGGAAGCUGCAGCUUUAGUAACUGUUGUGCCUAACGCAAGCUUGGGUAAAAGGCCUUCUACAAGAGCGGGUGGACAGGCUCAUUCGCAGCCAUCGGGAAGGACAUCUUUUCAUCUGGCAGAGGGUGGCACUAGACCAAACAGCACAGGCAAGCGUUGCGUUGCACGAAUAUGUAUUGUGUAUAUCAUGUCGUGCUGACGUGCAAUACGUUUUACCUAGUUACACAAGUGGGACAUUAUCAUGGUUCCUGCAGGGUUGUCGAUCGACGCGCAUGAAGACGAUGGCGUUGUUCUGCGUGCAACGCAUUCCAGCCAGUCUGGACAUCCCAGGGACAGUACUCUGAGGAAAAGCAAAGAUGGCAGGUAUGCUCUAUCGCCAUGUUGCUUAUUUGUUGAGCAAACACAAUCUUCCUCUUAAAAAAUGUCUAGCUAAUAGAACUAAAAGCUCGCUGUUCUUCGAAGCCCGUAGCUGAAUAGUCACGACCCCUCGUUAACCCAAGGGACCAAAACCAACCCGCGCCCUGUGUCCCUCUACCCUGCCGCUCCCCCAUCCUCCCGUUCGCAACCCCUCCCUUCCCCCAGCAGACCCGCAUCCCGCCCAAGCGCCACCAUUCAAUCACCCUACCUUCAGCCUCCCGGCGGCAGAGCCGCCCAAAACUCUAUCCAUCGUCCCGCCAGUCGCCAACAGUCCCAGCAGUCACCGCAACCCCAGCACCCCCAGCCGCAN